ensembl:snRNA U6 U6 spliceosomal RNA
GUGCAGGAUUUGGCAGCACAUAUACUAAAAUUGGAAUCACACAGAGUAGAUUAGCAUGACCCCUGUGCAAGGAUGACACACAAAUUUCAGAAUCAUUCUAUAUUUUU